rnacentral:rRNA from 1 species
UUCGCAAUGCCCGAAAGGGUGACGAAGCGACGCCGCGUGUGGGAAGAAGGCCUUCGGGUUGUAAACCACUGUUGGGAGUUAGGAAGUGUGGAGGUGUUAGUAGCGCUUUCACUUGACUAAAGCUCCAGAGGAAGCCACGGCUAACUCUGUGCCAGCAGCCGCGGUAAUACAGAGGCGGCAAGCGUUGUUCGGAAUUAUUGGGCGUAAAGAGCACGUAGGCGGCUCUGCAAGUCAGCUGUGAAAGCCUUCUGCUUAACGGAAGAACGGCAGUUGAAACUACAGGGCUUGAGUGCGGGAGGGGAGAGUGGAACUUCUGGUGGAGCGGUGAAAUGCGUAGAUAUCAGAAGGAACGCCGGCGGCGAAAGCGGCUCUCUGGUCCGUAACUGACGCUGAGUGUGCGAAAGCUAGGGGAGCAAACGGGAUUAGAUACCCCGGUAGUCCUAGCCGUAAACGAUGGGCACUAAGUAGAGGGGUU